rnacentral:snoRNA from 1 species
UAUAGUUUGUUACUAGAGUAGCUUUUCUGAACACAUCGAACACCCACAACCCUGAGGAGGAGACAGAGGACCCUCUCCAGAACAUGAGGCCGGUUCUAGGUGUUGCUUCCACAGCUGCCUUUUACUAUUCAUGAUUGUUCUACUCUUCCUAUGGAAGAGGGAAGGGAGACAGAGGAUGCCGAGGAUGUAGUCUGAGUGG